rnacentral:rRNA from 1 species
UACGUAGGGUGCAAGCGUUAAUCGGAAUUACUGGGCGUAAAGCGUGCGCAGGCGGUUAUGUAAGACAGAUGUGAAAUCCCCGGGCUCAACCUGGGAACUGCAUUUGUGACUGCAUAGCUAGAGUACGGUAGAGGGGGAUGGAAUUCCGCGUGUAGCAGUGAAAUGCGUAGAUAUGCGGAGGAACACCGAUGGCGAAGGCAAUCCCCUGGACCUGUACUGACGCUCAUGCACGAAAGGCGUGGGGAGCAAACGAGG